rnacentral:tRNA from 1 species
GCCGGGGUGGUGGAAUAGGUAGACACGAGGGACUUAAAAUCCCUUGAUCGCAAGGUCGUGCGGGUUCGAUUCCCGCCCUCGGCA